rnacentral:tmRNA from 1 species
GGGGAUGACAGGCUUCGACGGGGAACGAUCGGCAGUGUGCUGCAAGCCGAGCGGCGCUAACUCGUAAAUCUGGCGCACAAAAACGAGUGCCAACCGCACUUACCAACCCGCUAUGGCAAUGGCCGCUUAGGCGGUCUGACCCGUAGUCGCUUACCUGUAAGGUAAGCCGUCCGCCUCCACCGUCCCCUGAUCGGGGGAGGGUCGGGCGACACAAGAUCAGGGUGCGCGUCCGGGACGCCGAUAAACGGACGUUAAGAUGAUCGGCUGGCCCCCGCUGUACCGCGUCAACCGGGGACUUCGGGAGCGAGACACAAAAGGUUGGCUACGCUUGUAGAGGUGCAUUGACCAUCUUCUUCGGACCCGGGUUCGAUUCCCGGCAUCUCCACUG